AACGUAGGUGGCGAGCGUUAUCCGGAUUUACUGGGCGUAAAGCGUGUGCAGGCGGCUUAUCAAGUGGUGUAUGAAAUAUCCAGGCUCAACCUGGAGGGGUUAUGCCAGACUGGUAGGCUAGAGUGCGAGAGAGGGGCGUGGAAUUCCGGGUGUAGUGGUGAAAUGCGUAGAGAUCAGGCAGAACACCUGGGGCGAAGGCGGCCGGCUAGGCCGACCCUGACGCUGAGGCGCGAAGGCGUGGGGAGCGAACGGG
rnacentral:rRNA from 1 species